rnacentral:rRNA from 1 species
AUUGAACGCUGGCGGCAGGCCUAACACAUGCAAGUCGAGCGGAAGAAGGGAGCUUGCUCCUGGAUUCAGCGGCGGACGGGUGUGUAAUGCCUAGGAAUCUGCCUGGUAGUGGGGUAUAACGUCCGGAAACGGGCGCUAAUACCGCAUACGUCCUGAGGGAGAAAGUGGGGGCUCUUCGGACCUCACGCUAUCAGAUGAGCCUAGGUCGGAUUAGCUAGUUGGUGGGGUAAAGGCCUACCAAGGCGACGAUCCGUAACUGGUCUGAGAGGAUGAUCAGUCACACUGGAACUGAGACACGGUCCAGACUCCUACGGGAGGCAGCAGUGGGGAAUAUUGGACAAUGGGCGAAAGCCUGAUCCAGCCAUGCCGCGUGUGUGAAGAAGGUCUUCGGAUUGUAAAGCACUUUAAGUUGGGAGGAAGGGCAGUAAGUUAAUACCUUGCUGUAUUGACGUUACCAACAGAAUAAGCACCGGCUAACUUCGUG